rnacentral:lncRNA from 1 species
AUGCGGCAAAAACGACUUGAGUUCUACACAUCGGGUGGAACACAUUUGCUAAGCUCAUGGUUCCUCCAGUUUAAUAUCCUAAAGGGUGAGCUGUGGGCUUCCUCUGCUCCGAAUAGACUCCAGUGGUUCCAGAUUCUGGAAGAAGGGACUGGAGACACAGACUGGAACUCGCCAGAGUAUCAGCCACCUGAGACGCAGGUACAGUCCGGGAAGACUGAAAACUGAUUGCACCAGAUGGUAAAGAGAUUAGGCAGGAACGUCAUUGCCACGGGCUCCCCGAAGACAGCAGUAAGAGCCCACCUGCCAAGGCAGGGGAUGCAGGAAACCCGGGUUUGAUCCCUGCAUUGGGAAGGUCUCCUGGAGAAGAAAAUGGCAACCCAUCCAGAAUUAUUGCCUGAAAAAUCCCNNNNNNNAGAGGAGCCUGGCAGGCUACAGUCCAUGGGGUCACAAGGAGUCAGACAUGGCUGAGCACACGCUCAUAUCAUCAUCACACCCUCCAAACCUCCAGUGCCUUCAGGCGCCGCAAAAUUGAGGGGACCUGUCCUGGGUCAUCUCUGUAGCCGAGGCCAAGCUCAUAGUGCUCACUGUACCACAGGCCAAUAAACCAACAGAUGAGUUUUGAGGGCAAGGAAUAGAGCUUCCAAGAGGUUGGCGGACUAGUGUCCCAAAGAACCAUCUUGCCUGAGUUAGAAUUCAGGCUUCUUCUAUACUAGAAAGGGUGGGGGUUGGGGAGUAAAAUCAAACAUUCCUGGUUCCGGUCAGCCUCCAGAGGGAAUGUGUUCAUUUCUUCCUCCCUGUAGUUAUUCACAAGUGGGCUUGGUCAGAAUGUUUCCUGUGAGCUAAACAAAAAUAUUUUAGCUUAAUGCUCAUUACCUGGGAGGCAGGGCUCCCAGAGAUAGGCCGCUUUGUAUAAUAGAAACUUAUAGGCAACAUCCCUUUAGUGAUUAACUUAGAGGAUGAGAUGGUUGGAUGGCAUCAAUGAAGCUGUGGACAUGAGUUUGAGCAGGCUCCGGGAGUUGGUGAUGGACACCCUGGCAUGCUGCAGUCCAUGGGGUCGCAAAGAGUCAGACACAACUGAGCNNNNNNNNNNNNNNGAACUGUGUAACAGAAUACAAAGGUUCCUUGCUAUAACUUGAGGGAGCUCAUAGCCACCUCCCAGCAGCUGUGGCA